AGGAAGGUCAAGUUUGUAUGCCA
rnacentral:siRNA from 1 species